rnacentral:rRNA from 1 species
AGUGAACGCUGGCGGCGUGCUUAACACAUGCAAGUCGAACGAGAACGGAAUAUAGCUUGCUAUAUUUGUCAGCUAAGUGGCGCACGGGUGAGUAAUGUAUAGAUAACCUGCCCUUAAGAGAGGAAUAACAGUUGGAAACGACUGCUAAUGCCCUAUAUGCCUUUAAUACAUAUGUAUGCAAGGGAAACGCUUUAGUGCUUAAGGAUGGGUCUGUAUGGUAUCAGCUUGUUGGUGAGGUAAUGGCUCACCAAGGCUAUGACGCCUAACCGGUUUGAGAGGAUGAGCAGUCACGCUGGAGCUGAGCCCCGGUCCAGACUCCUACGGGAGGCAGCAGUGGGGAAUAUUGAACAAUGGACGAAAGUCUGAUGCAGCAACGCCGCGUGGAGGAUGACACAUUUCGGUGCGUAAACUCCUUUUAUAUAGGAAGAUAAUGACGGUACUAUAUGAAUAAGCACCGGCUAACUCCGUGCCAGCCGCCGCCGUAA